UACAGAGGGUGCGAGCGUUGUUCGGAAUUACUGGGCGUAAAGCGCGCGUAGGCGGCUAUCCAAGUCAGUGGUGAAAGCCCGGAGCUCAACUCCGGAACUGCCAUUGAAACUGUUUAGCUUGAGUAUGAGAGAGGUGAGUGGAAUUCCCAGUGUAGAGGUGAAAUUCGUAGAUAUUGGGAAGAACACCGGUGGCGAAGGCGGCUCACUGGCUCAUUACUGACGCUCAGGCGCGACAGCGUGGGGAUCAAACAGG
rnacentral:rRNA from 1 species